GACGUAGGGGGCAAGCGUUAUCCGGAAUGAUUGGGUGUAAAGGGUGCGUAGGCGGUACGUAAAGUCAUAUGUCAAAUACCAUAGCUCAACUAUGGGAAGGCAUAAGAAACUAACGAACUAGAGUACAGGAGAGGUAAGCGGAAUUCCUAGUGUAGCGGUGAAAUGCGUAGAUAUUAGGAAGAACACCAGUGGCGAAGGCGGCUUACUGGACUGAUACAGACGCUGAGGCACGAAAGCGUGGGGAGCAAACAGG
rnacentral:rRNA from 1 species